rnacentral:rRNA from 1 species
GAUGAACGCUGGCGGCGUGCCUAAUACAUGCAAGUCGAGCGAACGGACGAGAAGCUUGCUUCUCUGAUGUUAGCGGCGGACGGGUGAGUAACACGUGGAUAACCUACCUAUAAGACUGGGAUAACUUCGGGAAACCGUAGCUAAUACCGGAUAAUAUUUUGAACCGCAUGGUUCAAAAGUGAAAGACGGUCUCGCUGUCACUUAUAGAUGGAUCCGCGCUGCAUUAGCUAGUUGGUAAGGUAACGGCUUACCAAGGCAACGAUGCAUAGCCGACCUGAGAGGGUGAUCGGCCACACUGGAACUGAGACACGGUCCAGACUCCUACGGGAGGCAGCAGUAGGGAAUCUUCCGCAAUGGGCGAAAGCCUGACGGAGCAACGCCGCGUGAGUGAUGAAGGUCUUCGGAUCGUAAAACUCUGUUAUUAGGGAAGAACAUAUGUGUAAGUAACUGUGCACAUCUUGACGGUACCUAAUCAGAAAGCCACGGCUAACUACGCG